AAAAAAAAAAAAAACAACAACUUGGCUUCCAACCUUGCUUAGGUAUCCUUAAUAGUACUUAAAAUGCAGGCCUUAAUCUGACAUUUCAAGAACAUUAUUUUCCAACACUGGCAGAGGCUACGAAUAUCGGUAUGGUCCACUUUUCUAUAACCAAUACCCAAUUGUAAUAGAUGUAUAUUUCCCUCACCAAUGAAAAUGGUCCCCCCAACCCCUGCUUAGAGGAGUGUGCAGAAAGUGUGAGGAGUGACUAAGUGGAAGUGGGGGUGAUUAGACCACACGUCUAUUUUCUUAAGAAUCUCUCUUUCCUAGAAUAGCAUCCUAUAGUCAAUAACUAAAUAUAAACCCCUAUUGUUCAUCUGUGAAUUCCAACUUACUAUUCAAAAUGGGCAGGAGGAGGCAUUCUUCCAAAUUAUUCCCCCAAACAAAUGUCUCCUCAGUAGAAUAUAUCCUAGCUGUGAUAGUCUGGUGUUUUCUUUUGAAAUCUUUUGUAGUCUUUGCCAUUGUUCUUCUGAACUACUUAGAAAAGGCAGUGAGCCACCUUCAUGGUAUCUGAAGUUGGCUCUCCAUAAUGAGGUGAUAUAAUUUAACACUUACUGUAAUACAUUUUAUCCAUCUAUUGUUUGCUAAAUAAUUCCUGCAAUAACAAUUUUAUUCUUUCCAUAAUUCUUCAGGGCAAUGCUGGAGGAAUAAUAUUUUUACUGCAGUGAUUGAUGUCAGGUCCUGGUGCUAUAUAGCCCCAUGAACAAAGGUUAUUGAUAAGCAUCAGGAAGAUUGGAGGGUGUAGAGGGGGCAGGGAAAGCAUUCAGAGGCCCCUGCUGCAUGAAAAGAAGAUCAGGGAUCAGAGGGUUAAUACCAUUUUAUGAGGUUGUAAAAAUCUACCCCAAGAUUCUUGUGUUAGCAAUAUUCUUUGUGUAAGAUGUAUGUUAUUAAAACAAGUAGCAGCAUCUGAAUUAAAGUGACAGUAUGAUGGAUGACUACUGAAAAGGAAUCGGAGCCGUUUGCAGCAUUUUGGGCUAGAUGUGGGAAUUCUGCCUCAGAGGCAAGGAGCUUGGCAGACACAUUGAUUCCGGGCUGAUGCAUGUUCAUAAAUAUGCCCCUAGAGAGGUGUGGCCUAGCAGAAUUUACAAAAUUAUGUUCAUGAAUUAUUUAACAUUUAUUUAUGGAUGCUAUAUUUAAACAGUAUUUGCAAAGGCGAAUGGACCAUAGCUUACAAAGUGAUCUUUAGAUAAUGCAAAUUCUGCACAAGGCAGAGGUGGCGGGUGACUUGCCCAGUGAUGC
rnacentral:lncRNA from 1 species